GACGAACGCUGGCGGCGUGCCUAAUACAUGCAAGUCGAGCGAAGUUUUUCUGGUGCUUGCACUAGAAAAACUUAGCGGCGAACGGGUGAGUAACACGUAAAGAACCUGCCUCAUAGACUGGGACAACUAUUGGAAACGAUAGCUAAUACCGGAUAACAGUAUUUCUCGCAUGAGAGAUAUUUAAAAGUUGGUUAUGCUAACACUAUGAGAUGGCCUUGCGGUGCAUUAGCUAGUUGGUGGGGUAAAGGCCCACCAAGGCGACGAUGCAUAGCCGACCUGAGAGGGUGAUCGGCCACACUGGGACUGAGACACGGCCCAGACUCCUACGGGAGGCAGCAGUAGGGAAUCUUCCGCAAUGGGCGAAAGCCUGACGGAGCAACGCCGCGUGAGUGAAGAAGGAUUUCGGCUCGUAAAGCUCUGUUGUUAGGGAAGAAUGGAUAUGUAGUAACUAUACAUGUAAGAGACGGUACCUAACCAGAAAGCCACGGCUAACUACGUG
rnacentral:rRNA from 1 species